rnacentral:rRNA from 1 species
GUGCCUACGGGGGGCAGCAGUGGGGAAUUUUCGUCAAUGGGCGCAAGCCUGAACGAGCGAUGCCGCGUGAGUGAAGAAGGCCUUCGGGUCGUAAAGCUCUGUUGCGGGGGAAAAAAGGCAGCAUCAGGAAAUGGGUGCUGACUGAUGGUGCCCCGCCAGAAAGUCACGGCUAACUACGUGCCAGCAGCCGCGGUAAUACGUAGGGGGCAAGCGUUAUCCGGAUUUACUGGGUGUAAAGGGAGCGUAGACGGCGCGGCAAGUCUGAAGUGAAAGGCAGGGGCUUAACCCCUGAACUGCUUUGGAAA